UUUGUGUGUCUCCAACAGACAAAUACGAGUCUGUGUCGUGGGUCUUCUGCAAUGCCUAAGAAAGCGAACAAGAAAGAAAAGCCGGUAAUUG